CUACUGGGGUAUCUAAUCCUGUUUGCUCCCCACGCUUUCGCGUCUCAGCGUCAGUAACGUCCCAGCGAGCUGCCUUCGCAAUUGGUGUUCCUCCCGAUAUCUGCGCAUUUCACCGCUACACCGGGAAUUCCACUCGCCUCUUCCGCACUCUAGUUCAGCAGUAUCCACCGGCAUCCCAGGGUUGAGCCCUGGACUUUCACAGCAGACUUACUGAACCGCCUACACGCGCUUUACGCCCAAUGAUUCCGGACAACGCUCGCCCCCUACGUAUUACCGCGGCUGCUGGCAC
rnacentral:rRNA from 1 species